UACGUAGGGCGCAAGCGUUGUCCGGAAUUAUUGGGCGUAAAGAGCUCGUAGGCGGCUUGUCACGUCGGGUGUGAAAGCCCGGGGCUUAACCCCGGGUCUGCAUUCGAUACGGGCAGGCUAGAGUGUGGUAGGGGAGAUCGGAAUUCCUGGUGUAGCGGUGAAAUGCGCAGAUAUCAGGAGGAACACCGGUGGCGAAGGCGGACCUCUGGGCCAUUACUGACGCUGAGGAGCGAAAGCGUGGGGAGCGAACAGG
rnacentral:rRNA from 1 species